rnacentral:rRNA from 1 species
AUUGAACGCUGGCGGCAGGCCUAACACAUGCAAGUCGAACGAGUGGCGGACGGGUGAGUAAUGUCUGGGACACUGCCCGAUGGAGGGGGAUAACUACUGGAAACGGUAGCUAAUACCGCAUACCAUCGGAUGUGCCCAGAUGGGAUUAGCUAGUAGGUGGGGUAACGGCUCACCUAGGCGACGAUCCCUAGCUGGUCUGAGAGGAUGACCAGCCACAUGGGAGCUGAGACGCGGUCCAUACUCCUACGCGAGGCAGCAGUGGGGGAUAUUGCACAAUGGUCGCAAUCCUUAUGCAGUCAUGCCGCGUGUAUGAAGAAGGCCUUCGGGUUGGAAAGUACUUUCAGCGAGGGGGCGUUACUCGCAGAAGAAGCACCGGCUAACUCCGUGCCAGCAGCCGCGGUAAUUC